rnacentral:rRNA from 1 species
UUAGCCUACGGGAGGCAGCAGUGGGGAAUAUUGGGCAAUGGGCGCAAGCCUGACCCAGCAACGCCGCGUGAAGGAAGAAGGCUUUCGGGCUGUAAACUUCUUUUAUGAGGGACGAAGGAAGUGACGGUACCUCAUGAAUAAGCCACGGCUAACUACGUGCCAGCAGCCGCGGUAAUACGUAGGUGGCAAGCGUUAUCCGGAUUUACUGGGUGUAAAGGGCGUGUAGGCGGGAAAGCAAGUCAGAUGUGAAAACCAUGGGCUCAACCUGUGGCCUGCAUUUAAAACUGUUUUUCUUGAGUACUGGA